UACGUAGGGUGCGAGCGUUGUCCGGAAUUAUUGGGCGUAAAGAGCUCGUAGGCGGUGUGUCACGUCGUUCGUGAAAACCUGCAGCUUAACUGUGGGCGUGCGGUCGAUACGGGCAUCACUGGAGUUCGGCAGGGGAGACUGGAAUUCCUGGUGUAGCGGUGAAAUGCGUAGAUAUCUGGAGGAACACCGGUGGCGAAGGCGGCAUCCUGGACCGACACUGACGCUGAGGAGCGAAAGCCAGGGGAGCAAACGGG
rnacentral:rRNA from 1 species